rnacentral:rRNA from 1 species
ACAUGCAAGUCGAACGAGAAAGGGGAGCAAUCCCUGAGUAAAGUGGCGACCGGGUGAGUAACACGUGACCAAUCUACCCUCGAGUGGGGGAUAACUCCGGGAAACCGGGGCUAAUACCGCAUAAUAUCUUCGGGUCGGAAGAACUGAAGAUCAAAGGAGCAAUUCGCUUGAGGAGGAGGUCGCGGCUGAUUAGCUAGUUGGCGGGGUAAUGGCCCACCAAGGCGAAGAUCGGUAGCCGGCCUGAGAGGGCGCACGGCCACACUGGAACUGAAACACGGUCCAGACUCCUACGGGAGGCAGCAGUGGGGAAUUUUGCGCAAUGGGGGAAACCCUGACGCAGCAACGCCGCGUGGAGGAUGAAGUCCCUUGGGACGUAAACUCCUUUCGACCGGGACGAUUAUGACGGUACCGGUGGAAGAAGCCCCGGCUAACUUCGUGCCAGCAGCCGCGGUAAUACGAGGGGGGCAAGCGUUGUUCGGAAUUAUUGGGCGUAAAGGGCGCGUANGCGGUGCGGUAAGUCACCUGUGAAAUCUCUGGGCUUAACUCAGAGUCUGCAGGCGAAACUGCCGUGCUG